GACGAACGCUGGCGGCGUGCUUAACACAUGCAAGUCGAACGGAAAGGCACUGCUUUCGUGGGCUGCUCGAGUGGCGAACGGGUGCGUAACACGAGAGUAACCUGCCCUACACUUUGGGAUAACUUCAGGAAACUGGGGCUAAUCCCGGACCGGAGCCGCCCCUGCAUUGUGGGGGUUGGAAAGUCUCGGCGGUCGGGGAUGGACUCGCGGCUUACCAGCUUGUUGGUGGGGUAGUGGCUUACCAAGCCUUGGACGGGUAGCCGGCCUGGGAGGGUGACCGGCGACAAUGGGACUGAGAUACGGCCCAGACUCCUACGGGAGGCAGCAGUGGGGAAUAUUGCACAAUGGGCGGAAGCCUGAUGCAGCAACGCCGCGUGCGGGAUGACGGUCUUCGGGGUGUAAACCGCUUUCGCCUGUGACGAAGCGGGAGUGACGGUAAUGGGUAAAGAAGCACCGGCUAACUACGUG
rnacentral:rRNA from 1 species